AAAAUAAAAAAACAAGACAACAAUUUAGUAGAAGUACCACUGGGUGGGGAAGGGAGGGGGAGAAAGGAGAGACUAGGGGUAGGGGUAGGAGAGCGGCCGCAGGCGGUCGUAGUCCUCCUGGCCCGCCGUGUCCCACAGCGCCAGCUCCACCUGCUUGCCGUCCACCUCGAUAUCGGCCACAUAGUUCUCGAAGACGGUGGGCACGUACACCUCGGGGAACUCGUCCUUACUGAACACGAUCAGCAGGCACGUCUUGCCGCACGCGCCGUCGCCCACCACCACCAGCUUCUUGCGGAUGGCCGCCAUGAGCGGGCCGGGCCCGGGCAGCAGGAGGGGGCCCGCGAACGCCUCGCUGCCGUCCCGCUCGCCGCUCACUGCUCACCUCGGGCUGCGCGCUGGGGGCGAGGGUCGCUAGCUGCACCCGGGCCCCGCGCUGGCGGCCGGGAGCCUGCGGGGCCUGGGCGAGCGGAUCCGAGAGAGGCUGCACUUUGUGGGGCGUUGGCUCAAAAUCGUCCCGCUUCCUUGCAAACUCCCAGCGGUGGCCGGCCCUGUGGGGGAGGGAGCGGCUCCUUUAAGCGGUUUUGUUUUUAAAUAAACACACGCGCGCUCACACACACACACACACACACACACACGUUUGUUUCCGAGCAAGGUUUUUUUCUUUUCCCUUAGAAGCGGCCCUUUCCCUCACCUACUCCGCCACUCCCAACUCCCCCCCACCCUGGUACUCUUCCCUGGGACAGCCCUAGGUUUGGACCCAGAGACCAAAAGCUGACUGUGAGCUGGGUGGUCCUGGGCCUAGCUUCUGGCUCUUCAAGUUCUAUCGCCUACCCUCUUCCUGCCCCACCCCCUACACACACACCCCCAUCUCUAG
rnacentral:lncRNA from 1 species